rnacentral:rRNA from 1 species
AGCGAACGCUGGCGGCAGGCCUAACACAUGCAAGUCGAACGAACCCUUCGGGGUUAGUGGCGGACGGGUGAGUAACACGUGGGAACGUGCCUUUAGGUUCGGAAUAACUCAGGGAAACUUGUGCUAAUACCGAAUGUGCCCUUCGGGGGAAAGAUUUAUCGCCUUUAGAGCGGCCCGCGUCUGAUUAGCUAGUUGGUGAGGUAAUGGCUAACCAAGGCUACGAUCAGUAGCUGGUCUGAGAGGAUGACCAGCCACAUUGGGACUGGGACACGGCCCAAACUCCUACGGGAGGCAGCAGUGGGGAAUCUUGCGCAAUGGGCGAAAGCCUGACGCAGCCAUGCCGCGUGGAUGAUGAAGGUCUUAGGAUUGUAAAAUCCUUUCACCGGUGAAGAUAAUGACUGUAGCCGGAGAAGAAGCCCCGGCUAACUUCGUGCCAGCCGCCGCGGUAACAC